rnacentral:rRNA from 1 species
AGUAGUUUGAUCAGUGGCUCGAGGACGAACGCUGGCGGCGUGCCUAACACAUGCAAGUCGAGCGGGGAUUGCUUUGGAAGGUCUUCGGACUGGAAGGAGUAAUUCCAGCGGCGGACGGGUGAGUAACGCGUGAGCAACCUGCCUUCAACAGGGGGAUAACGCAUCGAAAGAUGUGCUAAUACCGCGUAAGACCACAGGAUCACAUGGUUCAGGGGUCAAAGGAGCAAUCCGGUCGAAGAUGGGCUCGCGUCCGAUUAGCUAGUUGGUGAGAUAACAGCCCACCAAGGCGACGAUCGGUAGCCGACCUGAGAGGGUGAUCGGCCACAUUGGAACUGAGAGACGGUCCAGACUCC